rnacentral:rRNA from 1 species
UACUAGGAGGGCAAGCGUUGUCGGAAUUAUUGGGCGUAAAGAGCUUGUAGGCGGUUUGUCGCGUCUGCUGUGAAAUUUCGGGGCUCAACCCCGAACUUGCAGUGGGGUACGGGCAGACUAGAGUGUGGUAGGGGAGACUGGAAUUCCUGGUGUAGCGGUGAAAUGCGCAGAUAUCAGGAGGAACACCGAUGGCGAAGGCAGGUCUCUGGGCCAUAACUGACGCUGAGGAGCGAAAGCGUGGGGAGCGAACAGG